CUCUCUGGCUACUAGUUAGCCAGAGAGUUCAUUGAGUUAGCCUUGAGUUCAUUGAGGCAGAACAUACUCAAAUGCAACAAAUUACAUGAAGUAGAUUUAUUACUUGCAGGUAGGCAGCAAGGGAAAUACCUUAGGAUUCACUGCGAGCCAUUCCUGAAGACUCAGAGAGCUGCCUGGGGUGGGUAGAGACCUGACUGUACAGAUCUCGCUUGUACCACAGAUCAGGGAAUCCGAAAGUCCUCCCUCUCCUGGUUACAUAGCUGCUGUCACAUACCUCACUGGACUAAGGUACUGAAGGACUUCCUGCUCCAGGAGGGACUGGGAGAGUGCUCAGGGUGCUCUGGCCAGCCCCUCCCUUGUCUCAGGGGUUGCAUUCCUAGCAUACUGUAUAGUUCUUGAGAACUACAAGCAAGAAUGAAGGAAAAUCCCGGCUGGUCUAAGGCCACUUGGAAAACUAUACCGCCCUCAGUGCUCUGCAAUGUACUAUGUGUCCCACACCCCUGCCUGGUAACAACAAGUGGAGUCAUGGAAUAUUUGUCUUUUUGAGUGACUUAUUUCACUUAGCAUCAUAUCCUCAAGAUUCAUUCACACUGGAAGUUCUGGCCAUUUAGUUUGUUGACUGUCCCUCAAUUUGGGUAGGUUUGAUGCUUCCUUAUGAUGAGCUUCAUGAUAUCUUGAAACAGUGCCCAAUCCAGCAUCAAUGAACAUGCUUAGCCCACCAGUUCUGUUGCUGAAAUACUAUCUGCCACAAACAAAUACCAGGACUUCCUGGAGAAAAUGGACAAUUCCAGGUUUGGGAUAGGAAGUGUGCAAAAUGAACCUGGGAUACCUUCAUAUAAUGUACAAUAAGUGAUCCAUCAAAAACUACUAGAAUCAGACUGAAGGACUCACUAGAACACUUGCUGAGGUUUGCACUGGUCAAAGAUGUGACAAUCUGGAGAUGGCUGAAAAGAGGCACGGAUGCAUCUCUAAGGAAAGACAGAGAGCAAGCAAGUGCCAUUGUGCUAAAAUAUCCAGGGACAUUGCACUGUGGAUGAAACAGAGAAACUGCAGAAAGCAGAGACUCCGGAUGUCCUGGUAAAGAAGAGAAUGAAGAGCUUUACAUUGAUCCCUGUACCCUAGUCUAGAAAAGUCUGAAUACAAGAAGUUUGUUACACCAUGGAGAAAAAGUAAACUGGAGUUCCCCAUUGACACCAUGGACACCUGAAGAUUUUGCUGUUGAAGAAUCCUACAGUGCUUGUGAUCCUUCAGCCCAGCGGGCGAGGAAUUGUAGGAAGCACACAGGGUUGUGCUGUUCUGGAGGAAUUCAGUUGACAUUGUACCCUCCCCUACCCAAGUGACUGCUGAAUAGUGCCACUCUGGCACCACCUCGAACCACAUCCAUCCCUGGACUUGCAUGAACAAUGCCGCCUCCUGAGCUGCUAUGGUAGCUGCUGCAGACGUGGAUGUGCGAGUUGUACUACACCUGCCUAGAGCUCCUUGAGAGGUCCCACCCAUUGUGCCACCUGUAGCAUGAGUAACACCCUGCAGUCACUGACACACACAGACUACCGUACACACACUCAGGAUGCUGAAGUGGUCACACUGCUACUCAGUGCAAAGGAGAGUGACAGACACAGGCAUAUGUGUGAUGCCAUAUAUAAGCACUGUACUGCACCUGCCAGGGUCAACUGGAAUGGUCUCCUGUUGAGACUACUGGAUCAUCCCCAUCCCCACAGGGCUGCUGGAAGGUGAUUGGGAUCUCUGCCCCCUUUGGGCUUACCACACACCCAACCUUUUAUUACAGUGAAGACACCUUAUAGUAUGAUGCCCAACCUGAAAUAGAGCCAAUGUAUCACACCAAAUGAACGCCAUAAAACAUCUUCAGAAGGAAGUAUUUUACUAUGAAAAGCACUUUACAGAAUUAGUAGGAAAUACAGAUACACCGGAUGCACAAAUACCAACAUAGGGACACAGAAGUAUGAAAAAAGUAAGGUGAAAUGAUGCCUACAAAAGAACAAAAUAACUCCAUAGCAACCAAACCCAAAGAAAAUAAAAUUGAUAAGCCAGCUGAAAAUUAGCCUAAAUAAUAAUUCUAAGGAAACUCAAUAAGAUACAAUAGAAUACAGAUUACCAACACAAGUAGAAAAAUAAUUUAUAAUAUGAAUGAGCAACUUAGCAAAGAGCUAGAGAUAAUAAAAGAGAUUCCCCCCAAAAAAGAGACCAAAAAUAAAAAUAAAACCAUAGUGUCAAACAACUCAGUAAAUGAAAUUAAAAACAGUUGAGAACCUCAGCAACAGACUAGCUCAAGCAGAAGAAAUUUCUGAACUCAAAUAUAGGUCUUCUGAAACUAUCCAGUCAGGUUUUAAAAGUCUAAAAGAAUGUAGACUGUCUCUGAGAUUCGCAGGACACCAUUCAUAAAUACAUUUUCAAAUUAUGGUUACUUCUUAGAUAGAAGAAAAUGGAAAAUGCACAGAUAAUCUAUUCAGUGAACUAGUAGCUGGAAACUUCUCAAAUCUUCAAACAUGUAUGGACAUAUAGCUCCAGGAAUUUCCAAGGAACUCAGAAAGAUCUGAUAAAAAAAAACUUUCUCAUAAUAUAUCAUAGCCAGUUAUCAAAAGCUCAAAAAUAAAGAAUGCUAAAAACGGAAACAGAAUUGCCAAGCCACAUUUAAGGGAAUCUCUUCCCCCCAUUAGACUGAGAGUAUACUUUUCAGAAGAAACUUACAGGCCACGAGGGAAUGGUUAAAGUAUUCAAAGUUCCAGAAGGAAAAACAGAAGACUAACAGCCAAAAAUACUAUACACAUCAAAACUAAAAAAUAUUUUAAAGACACACAAAAACCGAAGGAAUUCAUCACCACCAGGCUAAAUCUACAAAUAUGCUUAAGGAAGUCAUACAUCUACAAGCAAAAAUAAGAUAAUAACCUUCACAAAAAUAUGCAAAAGUACAAAUUCCAUUAGAGAAUUAUAUGAACAAAAGAAAAAGAGAAAAGAAUCAAAUCUUAUCAAUACAGAAAAGCACCAAACCUCAAAAACAAACAGGAGAGGAAGUAAGAAUAAGGGUGUUCAAUAUAACCCCAAAAAAGUUAACAAAAUGACUGGAGGAAGUCUUCAUGUAUUAACAAAUAUCUUGCAUGUAAAUGGAUUAAAUUCCCCAAUUAAAAUUUAGACUGUGGUUAAACUUCCACUUAUAACACUGGCAACUCAUAACGGAGUGCUGGUUUGAGUCCCUGGCUUCACCACUUCUGAUCCAACUCCCUGUUAAUGUGUUACUGGUCGAGGAGCGGAGAGUAGUUACCAGAGCAAAUUUGGUGGUUUUAUUUCCUCAGCUUAGUAGAGAAAUAAGACGUUGGGAAACAAUUUGCAAAGAAGCAAAAACUUUUUCUAUUUUGCAAAGCCAGAGGGAAAGUGUCUCAACUGAGAGGAGCCAAGACUGAGUACCCUGAGUAGGACUCUGGUUUUCUUGAGGUAUGCAGGGUUUUUAAGGCUUUACUGUCUUUUCACUGGGACUUCCUAUGUGGGUGCCUAUUGGACAGGGGUCCCACAUACUGUAUGCUCAUUGGCUUGGGGCCCAUUGAGAUAGUGGGGGUCUUUUGGAGAUGGCUUGACUCCUCUUAGGUGACUCAGCCCUCAACUCACUGAUAGUUCUGGGUGGUAAAUGGCAACUAGCUUUUUAACUAAUGAAAAUAGAGACAACACAAACCAAAAUCUAGCAGUACUAACAAAGAAUUGCAUGAUGAUAUGCACCUACAUCAAAAAAAAUAGAGGGACAGGUGUGUUGCACAGUGGUUAAGUUGUCACUUGGAAUGCCUGUCUCAUAUGGGUGUGCUUGGUUCAAAUCUUUACUCCCCCACUUCUGAUCUGGCUUCCCACUAAUGCAGAGUCUGGGAGACAGCCGAUUAUUGCUUCAGUACUUGAGUCUCUGCCACUCGCAGGGAACAGCUUGAUUGAGUUCUUUGCUUCUGCCUUUGACCUGGCAAAGUGCUGGCUGUUGUCAUUUGGGAAGUGAACCAUGAAACAGCAAAUAGAAUCUCUCUCUCUCCAUCUCUUUCUUUUUUUCAUUCCAUCUCACUGCUUUUAACAUAAAAUAAAAUUAAAUGAAAAUUUUUUGAAAAUAGAAAGAUUCCAAACAAACAACUUAAUGAUGCAACUCAAGGAAGUAGAAAAGCAAGAGCAAAGCAAACCAAAAUUAAUAAGGAAACAAAUAACAAAGAGCAGAGCAGAAAUAAAUGAAACAGAGGCUAAAAUAAGCAACACAAAAUAUCAACAAGAUAAAGAGCUGGUUUUUUUUGGUGAAGAUAAUGUCAACAAAGACCAACAAAGAAACAAGAAAAGAUAGAAUAUCCGAAUAAAUCAAAUAAAAUAUUACAAGGAGAUAGUACAGCUGAUACCAUAGAUAUACAAAGGCUAAUUAGGGCUGUUAUUUGUGGGAAAAUAUAUGCAACCAGAGGACAUUAUGUUACCUGAAAAAAGCCAGGCAGAGAAAGACAAACAUCUCAUGCUCUCUCUGUAUGUGGAAGCUAGAAAAGCCAAGAUCAAAGUAGCAGAGAGUACAAUAUAAAUAUAAUUCACUAGAGGCUAGGAUUCAUAGUUGGGAUUAGAGAUAGAGGGAAGUUGGAUAACAUGUACCAAAAUAUAGAUAGUUAUAAGUAAUAAAUUAUAAUGUUCUGCUGUAUGGUAGUGACUAUAGUUAAAAUAACCCAUAAUAUUUUUGAGAAGGACUAGAAGACUAGAAGUAUUCAAAUACAAAGAAACUAUAAGAAAAAGAAAUUGCUAUUACUCUGAUUUGAUUAUCACACAUGUAUAC